UUGAAGGAUUAUAAUUAUUGAUGAAUAAUUUUCCACGUUUUCCACAAAAAAUUGGAUUUUAACCACGAUAGGAAAAUGAGAACCUGCGCCUAUCCGUUUAAACCGAUUGUAGAAUUUAUGGAAAGGUAAGUUAAGUAAAAAUAAACAUACUAUGUAGUGGAGGAAUUUCGAAAUUAAACGAAUAAUUUUGAGCUGGUUUUUUUGGAGAAAUACAACCUUUCCAGCAUAACUUCCACGUGCCUAGCUAAAAUUCAGUAAUAUGAGUGCUAGAUUUAUAUUUUCUAGAUACAAUAAAGUUGUUUUUCUAUAGAUAUGGCGAUCUGAGUAAGCCCACUGAAGGGCCCCAAGAAAGAGCCAACAAUAGUCAACGGUGGGUGGAACUAACGGACACGCGAACGUGAAAUGCUGAUCCCACCGGCGACACGAAAACUACUGAGAAAUUGAGAAAAGUGUGGAGUGACUUUAAACAUCAAGAAGAAGGCAACUCGCAUACACAGAGCUGCCAAGGGAACACUGGACUGGUGGCGGUCCAGGUUCUUCCCUGAAGCCAAAGGAUUUAGAGCAGAGUGCUUGUAAAUAACUACUUGUAAAUUAAAUCCAUAAUAAAGACCUAGGGUAACUGGAUGGAUAUACCUACCUUAUUAUUGUAAAACUUAAGAUAUUAUAAUUAAUUAAAUACA